GUCCCUGUAGCGCAGUGGCUAGCGCGUUGGACUUCUAAUCCAAAGGUCCACGGUUCGAUCCCGUGCAGGGAUG